rnacentral:rRNA from 1 species
UUCCGGAGAGGGAGCCUGAGAAACGGCUACCACAUCUAAGGAAGGCAGCAGGCGCGUAAAUUACCCAAUCCUGACUCAGGGAGGUAGUGACAAGAAAUAACGGACCGAAGCCUAUGUUUCGGGAUUGCAAUGAGUAGAAUUUAAACCCCUUUACGAGGAUCAAUUGGAGGGCAAGUCUGGUGCCAGCAGCCGCGGUAAUUCCAGCUCCAAUAGCGUAUAUUAAAGUUGUUGCAGUUAAAAAGCUCGUAGUUGGAUUUCUGGGAGAGUGCCAAUGUCGUCUUGUUGACUGUGCAGCGGCGCUCUUCCAUCCUUCUGUUAACUUUUCGGGUAUUCAUUUACUCGUCUAGAGCUCAGAUAUUUUACCUUGAGAAAAUUAGAGUGUUCCAGGCAGGCUCGCGCCGGAAUACAUUAGCAUGGAAUAAUAGAAUAGGACUUUAGUCUCCUUUGUUGGUUUGAGGGACUGAAGUAAUGAUUAAUAGGGAUAGUUGGGGGCAUUAGUAUUUAAUUGUCAGAGGUGAAAUUCUCGGAUUUGUUAAAGACUAACUUAUGCGAAAGCAUUUGCCAAGGAUGUUUUCAUUAAUCAAGAACGAAAGUUAGGGGAUCAAAGACGAUCAGAUACCGUCCUAGUCUUAACCAUAAACUAUGCCGACUAGGGAUCGGAGGCGCGCUUUAUCCGCCUUCGGCACCUUAUGAGAAAUCAAAGUCUUUGGGUUCUGGGGGGAGUAUGGUCGCAAGGCUGAAACUUAAAGGAAUUGACGGAAGGGCACCACCAGGAGUGGAGCUUGCGGCUCAAUUUGACUCAACACGGGAAAACUUACCAGGUCCAGACAUAGUGAGGAU